GACGAACGCUGGCGGCGUGCCUAAUACAUGCAAGUUGAGCGCUGAAGGUUGGUACUUGUACCAACUGGAUGAGCAGCGAACGGGUGAGUAACGCGUGGGGAAUCUGCCUUUGAGCGGGGGACAACAUUUGGAAACGAAUGCUAAUACCGCAUAAAAACUUUAAACACAAGUUUUAAGUUUGAAAGAUGCAAUUGCAUCACUCAAAGAUGAUCCCGCGUUGUAUUAGCUAGUUGGUGAGGUAAAGGCUCACCAAGGCGAUGAUACAUAGCCGACCUGAGAGGGGGAUCGGCCACAUUGGGACUGAGACACGGCCCAAACUCCCACGGGAGGCAGCAGUAGGGAAUCUUCGGCAAUGGACGAAAGUCUGACCGAGCAACGCCGCGUGAGUGAAGAAGGUUUUCGGAUCGUAAAACUCUGUUGGUAGGGAAGAACGUUGGUGAGAGUGGAAAGCUCAUCAAGUGACGGUAACUACCCAGAAAGGGACGGCUAACUACGUG
rnacentral:rRNA from 1 species